rnacentral:rRNA from 1 species
GACGAACGCUGGCGGCGUGCUUAACACAUGCAAGUCGAGCGGAGCGGCGAACGGGUGAGUAACGCGUGAGUAACUGCCCCCCUCUCUGGGAUAACAGUUGGAAACGGCUGCUAAUACCGGAUAGUGGGGGAUGACUCGCGUACUAUCAGCUUGUUGGUGGGGUAGUGGCUUACCACGGCGACGACGGGUAGCCGGCCUGGGAGGGGGACCGGCCACAUUGGGCUAAGUUACGGCCCAAAGGCCUACUGGGGGCAACAGUGGGGAAUAUUGCACAAUGGGGGAAAGCCUGAUGCAGCAACCCGCGUGCGGGAUGACGGCCUGCGGGUUGUAAACCGCUUUCAGCCAUGACGCGGUAGUGGCAGAAGAAGCACCGGCUAACUACGUGCCAGCAGCCACGGUAAUAC